UGCGUAGGUGGCUAAUCAAGCCAGGAGUGAAAGGCUAUGGCUUAACCAUAGUAAGCUUUUGGAACUGAUUAGCUUGAGUGCAGGAGAGGAAAGUGGAAUUCCUAGUGUAGAGGUGAAAUUCGUAGAUAUUAGGAGGAACACCAGUGGCGAAGGCGACUUUCUGGACUGUAACUGACACUGAGGCACGAAAGCGUGGGUAGCGAACA
rnacentral:rRNA from 1 species